rnacentral:rRNA from 2 species
CCGGAGGUCAUUGCUAUUGGAGUCCGAUUUAGCCAUGCUAGUUGCACGAGUUCAGACUCGUAGCAGAUAGCUCAGUAACACGUGGCCAAACUACCCUAUGGAUCCGAAUAACCUCGGGAAACUGAGGCUAAUUCGGAAUACGGCUCACCACCUGGAGUGGUGUGAGCCCGAAACGCUCCGGCGCCAUAGGAUGUGGCUGCGGCCGAUUAGGUAGACGGUGGGGUAACGGCCCACCGUGCCCAUAAUCGGUACGGGUUGUGAGAGCAAGAGCCCGGAGACGGUAUCUGAGACAAGAUACCGGGCCCUACGGGGCGCAGCAGGCGCGAAACCUUUACACUGCACGAAAGUGCGAUAAGGGGACUCCAAGUGCGAGGGCAUAUAGUCCUCGCUUUUUGCGACCGUAAGGUGGUCGCGGAAUAAGUGCUGGGCAAGACCGGUGCCAGCCGCCGCGGUAAUACCGGCAGCACGAGUGAUGACCGCUAUUAUUGGGCCUAAAGCGUCCGUAGCUGGCCGUGCAAGUCCAUCGGGAAAUCCGCGCGCUUAACGCGCGGGCGUCCGGUGGAAACUGCAUGGCUUGGGACCGGAAGACCAGAGGGGUACGUCCGGGGUAGGAGUGAAAUCCCGUAAUCCUGGACGGACCACCGGUGGCGAAAGCGCCUCUGGAAGACGGAUCCGACGGUGAGGGACGAAAGCUCGGGUCACGAACCGGAUUAGAUACCCGGGUAGUCCGAGCUGUAAACGAUGUCUGCUAGGUGUGGCACAGGCUACGAGCCUGUGCUGUGCCGCAGGGAAGCCGUGAAGCAGACCGCCUGGGAAGUACGUCCGCAAGGAUGAAACUUAAAGGAAUUGGCGGGGGAGCACUACAACCGGAGGAGCCUGCGGUUUAAUUGGACUCAACGCCGGACAUCUCACCAGCAUCGACAAUGUGCAGUGAAAGUCAGGUUGAUGACCUUACUGGAGCCAUUGAGAGGAGGUGCAUG